CUGUGGGCGUGGCGAUACCCAGCACUGCACCGCAGCAGCAUCAGCUAACCAGCGGAGCCUAGCCGUGCGAUUUUGACAGGAACGUGGUUACAUAGGCUACAUCUGGAACAUUGGCUAAAGCAGCCCUCUAAAAACACAGGAAUGGCAGUGAAUGUAUACUCCACGUCUGUAACCAACGAGAACCUGAGCCGACAUGAUAUGCUGGCGUGGGUUAAUGAUUCUCUACAGCUCAGCUACACCAAAAUAGAACAGUUAUGUUCAGGUGCAGCAUAUUGUCAAUUCAUGGACAUGUUAUUCCCAGGAUGUAUUUUUCUAAAGAAGGUGAAAUUCCAGGCAAAGCUGGAACAUGAGUAUAUACACAACUUCAAAGUUCUUCAGGCAGCUUUCAAGAGGAUGAGUGUUGAUAAAAUAAUCCCAGUGGAAAAGCUUGUAAAGGGGAAGUUCCAGGACAACUUUGAAUUCGUCCAGUGGUUUAAGAAAUUCUUUGAUGCCAACUACGAUGGCAAAGAGUAUGAUCCUGUACAAGCUAGACAGGGCCAAGACAUGACUCCUCCCCCGAAUCCAGGUGAACACUUUUCCCACAAACCCAAGAGAACUGGUCCAGGGCCUCAGAGAACAUCGCCAACAGUACCCAAAAACAUGCCCACACCACAGAGGGUGACGACCACCAUCAGGAAGAACCCCAGUCUGGCUCGGAAUGGAGGAGGGGACGCCGAGAUCAUGGAGCUUAAUCAACAGGUAGAGUCCCUGGUUAAUGGAGCUGAAGUUGACUGUAGAUGGACUGGAGAAGGAAAGAGAUUUCUACUUCAGCAAACUCCGAGACAUUGAGUUGAUCUGCCAGGAACACGAGAGCGAGAACAACCCCAUCCUCACUAGGAUAGUCGACAUCCUUUAUGCAACAGAGGAAGGAUUCGCACCGCCAGAGGAUGACGACAUAGACGAGCAGGCCCACUUGGACCAGGAUGAAUACUGAGCGCUCCCUCCCAUCCUCCCUUUCUCCUGCGCCUGCUGUUCUCCUGUCCCCUCCCCCCCUCUCCUUUUCUCCACUUUCAACUACUCCUCACAUUGCACGCUGUUGAUAUCUCCUCCAUUACCUCUGUAUCUAUGGAUGCCCCAUAUGUACUAUGUAUCUGUUUGUCUUCUCCUACUACAGUUCAUACACUACAUCUCAAAGGCUCAUUACCACCUCCCUGCCCCCCUCUGAGAAUAGCAACAACAGUACUAUAAUCUAUCCGCCUCAGCAUGUUUCACAUUACGACAUGGAGAAUGAACACAAACAAGGCAUCGGAGACUGAGGGUAGCACAAUGGACUUAAAACGGUACAUAUUAUGGUGAGACAGCAGUUUUGAAGGGAAAAAAAUUUGUUGCAUGGAAUGCAGCUAUUUGCCUUAGGUCUCCUGCAUAUUUUGUUGUGGCACAGCACUGGCUCCAUUCAGCUUUUAGAAUAGUACUUUGGUUUCUCAUUCAUCCAUGUAAUGUCCUUUCAUUAGCCUGAGAAUGUCUCGCUUAGUCAGUUCAAGUGCAGUGACUGAGGCAUAGUCAAUGACCACAAACAGGGAAUUGCUACACUAACAAAAUAUCAGUUCUUCCAGAUAUGAUUUAGUGGUCCUCAAACUUUUAAACUAUAACAAGGUAAUUCUGCAAAAUGUUACUGACAUGUCAACACAACUACUGUGUAUUUUAGCAAGAAAGAUAUUCUACAUUUGGAUUUGCUGAGACACUGAGAGAUGCAAAACUAAAGAAAGAAGAAAGGGGCAUUUGAAAUUGAGAAAGAAGAAAAAAAUGAAGACAACUAAUCUGAAAGAAUGGUACAAAUCGUUCUUUUACCAUGUGGUUAGUUACUGCAUAUCUAUUGGGAGCAUGUGAAUGUUAUACAUUGAUAGUGAAUGAGUGCUGUAUUUGUAUUUUAUUUUAUGGAGGUUUGUUUCAGUUGAUUGAGUGGCUCAUGAUCCAGUACCGCUUACAUAGUUUCAAAUAAUGAAAUCUACUGGUGGGAUUAAAAAGUGGUAUUUGAUACUAAUCAAACUAGUCACACUACUGAUCGAAUGCUAUUUAACUGAGGUUUUGCUGCUAAUUUUACUGCAUUUCUGUGUUUCAUUUUGACAUUUAAUUUAUUCUGCUAUUGAAUAGCAUGGGCUAUGUUUUGUUGUUGUAAUUAAACAUGAAGUGAGAGAUUUUAAAAAGGCCCAGAUGUGAUGGAAAGGAACAGAGGCUCUCUGAAGUAUUGUGCUGCCUUUACAGUCUUUUACACCCAUCUGCAUAGAGACUCACUCUCAUACUUGUUUUGUCUCAAUUUAAAAAACAUGGCCAUAAUAGUGUUUGCAUAAAUUGUUUUGCGUUUUAUUGAGUAAAUAAACAGUUGUAAAAAA